AUGCCUUUGGCUGUUGGAGACAUCAGGCUGUACACAUACCUGCUGCAUAUGAAAUUCCUGAUGAUGCACGCAACAUACAGGGAAUUAUACAUUGACCCAGAAAAGAAAGAAGAAACUCCAGAAAUAAAACAAAUACAAGGACAAUUUCUGAUUCAGUUUGCAUUGAGAACAAUAGUUGCCCAUAGAGGCAAACCCAGCAGGGCUUGAGUUACCAGGACCCUCACAGGACUCUGCUCACCAGCAGAACCUCCCAGGAUAGAUAAUGCUUUGCUGUCAAAUUGUGCUUCAGGACACUCUCUCCUGCCUUCUGACCAGCAGAAAAACUCCUGCCCUCAAUUCCUGAGACCAGAAGUGUAGGGCCAGCCUCUGAGAGUUCUCCCCCAGUUCCCAGGCAGCUGAGUCCUGAUGGCAAUGGAGUGGAGAGUUCCCUUCCCCUUCCUUCCUCAAAGCAGCUUUGGCCUGCCUAGGAGAAGCCAGCUUUCUUCUGUCCAUGGGGCCCAGGAACCAAGACCCUAAGUGUUUCUCAAUCAGAUUAUCAUAGCAUUCCUUUUGACAAGAGUCAAGUCAUGUGACAUUAUAUACAACUCUUUAUAAGGAGUGACGUUAAGAUGUCAAUGUCGACCAGCCACUUUGGGAGGCUGAGGCCGGCGGAUCACCUGAGGUCAGGAAUUCAAGAUGAGCCUGCCAGCAUGGUGAAACCCUGUCUCUACCAAAAAUACAAAAAUUAGGCAGGCGUGGUGGUGGGUGCCUGUAAUCCCAGUUAUUUGAGAAAUUAAAGCAGGAGAAUCACUUGAACCGGGGAUGGAGGUUGCAGUGAGCCAAGAUUGUGCCACUUGCAUUCCAGCCUGGGUGACAGAGUGAGACUCUGUCUGAAAAAAAAAAAAAAAGAGAGAGAGAUGUCAAUGACACUGUGACGUCAUAUUUUUAAAACACUGUUUAGAGGGCCAUUGUUUUGUAUGCACUCAAUCUUUAAUAUGAACUGUAAGUCAAAGUUAUAGAUUUCAAAUAUAUUAAACAAGAUGUUCAAAAUACAGCAUCAUUGUAUUCUGAUGUUGUUAACAUUGGGAUAGUCUCUCUUCACCUACAGAGUCAGUUUUGUUAUUAAUGCCCUAGCUAAAUACACACCCACACUGCCUUUGUCACUUGUAUUUGUGUGUCUGUGUGUAAUACAGCUCACUGUCGAUACAUAAAUUUUUUUCACAAACUUCUGACAAUACGAAGAAGACAGGGCAGGGUUCCCAUUUCUUAGUGUUUAGAGCAUGCCAGUCACACCAGCCAGG
rnacentral:lncRNA from 1 species